UUGUACAAUUUUGGGACUACGUAUGCGCUAUUCGAUACUGAGCAUGCGCCAUUCAACACUGCGCAUGCGCUAAUCGAUACUGCGUAUACACGGAACCUAACCUAACCUUACCACAAUAUCUCGAAAACGGUAAGACCUCCAGCUCUGAAACCAACUUUAAUCGGUUUCUUGUAGUCAAUUUAGGUUAUAUAUCGAACCUGAGUUUUCAAUUUUGGUUGGGCCAUUCGGAAGCACAGCUGCUCUUUGCACUCUUAGCAUUUUUUGAUACGAUUAAGAAAAUUUUACAGUUGAGUUUUUGAAAACCGAAUGUUUUUUUUCUGACGAGAAAAACAAAGACGAAUUUUGAGGGUCGCUAUUAUUCAUCUAGGCUCCGUCGUUAGAAGUUUAAAAUUUUGAUAAAUAUAUGUAUGUAUUAAAGAUCCAAACUGAAGCAAAAAAAUUACAUAUUUCUGACAGAAAUAUAAUACUACUACAGAGGAUAUUUCCUUCAACUUUCUAUGAUUCAAUUUAGUUGGCGAACAAAAUAAAGUGGUUUUGAUGGACAAACUAUCGCGAUGCGGACUCGUGACGCGAGGACGAUAUUUUUAUAAGUUCGGUGGCAUUGGUCCAACCACAUUGGACCACCCUCGAUCGAUCUCGUUUUGAAAAUAAAAAUGAACAUCCGUUCACUUUGAAUCGCCGACCAUUUACGAAUCGUUAACUGGCACGGUCGAUGCAGGAAUUAUUCUAAAUGAAUCAACUGUUUCCUCUAUACUUGUUUGAUCACCGACCAUAAACUUAGCCACACAAUUAGUGAAUAAUUCGAGGGAAUACGUAGAACAAACAAAUAUAGUCAACGGAUUUAUUUUAUUGUUAAAUCUCGACUUCUUCAAAUAAGAACUUCAGAAAUAAUAAGAUAGAUACGUUCAUAUAGUUCCAUUAUUAUCAUUUUACAAGUUUUGUGGCAAAAUUUGAAAUUAGAAUUGAAAAUUUAUUCACUUAAUUAAAUCAAUUUUGUCUUUAAUUAUUAGGUUUUGCAUCUUCUUGAAAACUAUUUUAAGUUUGAAUAAUUUAAUAACAGUAAAACUUUAAUAAUUGAAGUUAUGAUGAUUUUUAAAAAUCAAUCUUCAAUUGAAAAAAGAAAAGGCACAGAGUUAAUUUGUACAUCCAAUAUGAAAAUCGAGAAGAAAAAUUUAGGAAUUUGUCCGUGUAAAUAAUUAGGUACAUAAAAUAUUGUCAAUAUUAUGAAAAUCGUAUUAUUAUAAUGGGACUUUUUAUUUAUACAAUUCAACCGUGAUGUUCUCGUAGAAGGACAAAUGACUCGCAUUUUGAGUAUAGAAUUCACGAAAAUGCUGAAGACACAAGAAAGUUGUAUUUUCUUAGAAAUUCCAUGUAUUUGUUGGCCGACUUACAUACCCCGCGUGGUGUAACUUGUAACUUAAAAAUACCCUCUGAAUAUUCUUCAAACGAAUUUUUUUCUCGUGUUCAGUAAUAUUCAACGUAAAGUAUGAGUCACAAAAUAAAGGAUGGGUCUUAAUAAAAAUAUCUCAUCUAUGAAGAAUGACCAAAACCCACUAAAAAGUAAUGCGUUGAUUGGCACAGUGGAAGUGGAUAUGCAUGGUCAGACGUACUGAAAAUUUAAUUAAUAAGGAUACAAGCAGUUAAUUUUCAAAUUUAAGCUUUCAGUUUGUUAGCUGAUAUUGUUAAUAUACGUAAUAAUAGUAUUAUUUAAAAUUUUAUUCGUUGUUUCUUUUAUCAAUUGUGCCAUUGGCUAUGAAAGUGAGUUAAGUUAAAUAUUUUUCAUGCAAAAAUUCCUACAUAUUAUUAUGAUGUAGAUUGAUAUAACAUAAAAUAAAUAAAAAAUAUAACUUCUUUAAAUUUUAGCUUUACGAUUAGAGCAUUUCGUUUUAUAAAAAAAUAAUUGUGAAUCAUGGAAUGCCUGGAAAUUUUAAUGUUAAAAUUUGUAGAAAAUAUCGCGUCCUUAUCGAUAAUAUAAUCGUACGACAGUUAACGAAUUUUUAUUUUUUGAUUAUGUAACAAUAUUGUUGAUAGUCAUCGAUCAAACCGUUCGUUCUUCUAUCUUUUUCCGUUUUUUACGCUUUGCAAGAAAAAACGUCGCAAUGAAGAUAAGAAGCCGAAGUUAGAGGACUUUUAUCGGGCCAGGUUCCCUCGAGAGAGCGAACGAAGAGAAAACUGACGCAUCCACGCGGACAUUGUGGGUCAAGGUUCGCGGUGAUAGUCGUCGCCGUCGUUUCGCCGAAUCGCUUUGCCACAGAUACGUCGAAUGUACGUCGAAUUAGGUAGCCAAUGUUGCCGAGCCGAUGAUUUCUUCGAUGUUCAUUCUUGGAUUUCUCGUUGCUAAUCGUUUCUUUGUUGUUUUCGCACGAAUGAUGGAUAAUCUGGCAGGAACCUUGUUGUGGUUUCAGUUCUAGAAAAGCACUCUUGGUAUAACGACUUCAUAUUUUUUGUAAACGUAAAUCAUGGCGAUGAAGUUUGCCAUCUGUAUCUGAAUUAAAUUUUGAGUGUGUGUUGUUUUUUGGAGGAUAGUUAUUAAUUUUUUAAUUUGCAACAUUGAUGGGUUGAUUAUUUUGAAGGAACAAGUAACCAACGAACCUGAUGUAAUUAUUAGGAACGCUCUAACAAUAAGUACCAAGAAGGGAAGUUAGAAAUGUGAACGUGAUUGUGGGCUCUAAUUAUUAACGUACAGAGGAACAUUUCUAUUUCAUCAUUGGUUACACAACGUCUACCAUCCGCGGUUGGUAAAAUCCUUCCAUAAACGUACAUUUACAUGUAGCGCAUAAACGCUGUGUGUUUUCACUGACUCUCACUGCUUUCUAGUGUAUUGAAAAGAUAAAAGUAUGCCUGAUUACGCACGCCCAUAUUUGAUGUAACAGAUUAUGUGUUGUCAUUCUGUUAACCCUUUCGCUACUAACGGUGGAGCUGUAGUCACCCAACAAGACGGUGAAUUUCGCAUUCAUUUUUAACUUUGGUAGAGCAGAAUAUUAUUACAUUGUUAUGUAGGAUCCCGGCGGAAAAUUAUUGCGUUUUCGUCUCGGGAAACCGUCCACUAGAACUCGUCAGUGGGACUGACGUGGACGGUCCCUGCCCCAGACGACUGGGUUCUACAGGGUGAUCCUCUCGCUAGUGGACCCAAAGGAAGUGCUGCAACGAUAGAAUGAAGAAGUCGACACCCCAUUUCUGUCAUCGCUUACUUGACGGAGGUGGCCCCUGCAGCGUAGACGGCUGUGUUCGUGAAAAUGUGUGUAAUGAGCAGAAGAGUCCCAUUUAAACGCUGCGAAAAACAGAAUAUUUUCUUAACACAUUUUCACGUAUACAGCCGUCUCCGCUGCAGAGGCCUCCUCCGUCAAGUAAGCGAUGACAGAAAUGGGGUGUCGACUUCUUUAUUCUAUUGUGGCGUCACUUCCUUUGAAGAUCACCCUGUAUAUCGACAAGGCCAGUGAUGGAGCACUUGCGAGAAAGGAUGGAGUAGUACCUACUCGCGAGACACUUUGCGGCCAUCACGGGAAAGAGGGGCCCAGGCGCUUAUAACCCCCACAGUGAUUUCUAUAGUUGCCGAUUUCUUGUAUUUAAUUUCUAUUUUAUUUUAUAUUACGAGAUUAUUAUUUUGUUAUUUUUAUUUUUCAACUGCGUCUGCGUUAGGAUUGCCCCGUAUCGGGACAGCGCAUUCGCGAGCAAGUCCGCCGUAGCGAAAAGGCUAAGUUAGUAAUGGGUAGAGGUUUACGAAAAUCGGAAAAUAUCGGAUUGAAUCGGAUCGAAUGAAGGCAAAUCAGAAUUGGUCGGGUAGAGUCGGGUCAAAAUUGUCCGGCUCAGCUCAGAUUCUCGGAAGUAAAGAUGCGCGGGAACUUGAAAGUUUCGGGUACCCGAUACCCGGAUUGGAUCAGGAAUUAUUUUGGUUAGCUUAGAGUGAAUUAGAUUUUUAGAAUCAGACACGUUCAACAAAGUUCACCCCGAAACAAUUCUCCAUAUUUCGGCAAUUCCGAGUCGACUGAAAUAAUUCCCGACUCGAUCCGAAAUUUUCUGGUUCUAGCGCCCCUCUGUUAAUGGGUAAUUAAAAUUAUAGCAUCGAAUAAUUAACAAUUGCUAUAAAAGUUCUAAGCGAAGGAUUAUUUCGACGGAAAUAUGUAAAUGCAGUGUUCGACCAGUUUCAAGCGUGUCACAAAUUCCUCGACGAUUUCGAGGCGUUCCUUGAUUUGCGAUAAAAUCUACGCGUUUUCUCACAAAUCAAUCCUUUCUUUCCCUUUCCAUGCCGUCGCGAAUUUUUUUUCUUCCUAGCAAUGGCAGCAUUAGAAGUUGGUCGCGACGUUGUCCCCUCAGCAUCGACGAAACCUCGGCGAAGUUAACGAGCUUCCUGAGACGUGGCAUGGCUGGCUGGCUAUACGCGCACGUUCCUCCAGGCGCCAGUGUUCAAGAAUUUAAUUAGUGGCAUCCUCUUUCGCUUCGAAAGUAGAGUCGGCAGCUUUAUCCAUCUCGAUGGCGGUUUUCAGUGAUGCCACGAGCCGCUGAUAACUACUACCAGUACGAGUCGGCACGUCGCGUCGCGUCCGCGUGGAACGGGCACGGGCGAAUGAAAAAUUUUACUAAUUCGACGACUGCCGACUAAACGACUAUUCCAGAUUCCUCUUGUAUUAACACAUUGCCUAUUAUAUGGGGGAAAUGGGAUCACCGGUAAAGACCGCCAUUAUAGGAAUUUAAUUCAGUGUAACAAUUAUAAUUAAAAAUGAAGAGAGAAAUCAAAUACGUAGUCUGGUUUAAAAAUAACUAGACUAUAUUUAUAAAAAUCUUAUGAUACACUUUUAAGAAUUAACCCGUAUAAGACUAUGUGGUUCUUAACCCUUUCCUUAUGAUCACUUCUGCCAGAAACUGAGUAUGGUAGGCUAUGUACAAGUAAACAAUACUAAUAAUAAUGUAAAUAUUAGAUAAAAUUUUUUCGAUUAAAUGUUUAGCUGUUGAUGGUCGCUAUUUUUAAUAGCAGAUAUACUUACAAUUAGUAACUUGCAAUGUGGUGAUGGUUAUUAUACACAAAUUAAUAUGUUACAUUUGAUGGUUAUUGCAUACAAAUUGUCACAAAUAAAAAUAAAUUAGUAAUUAAACUUAAUUGUGUAUAACACUUUGGCUUGAACAGCAUUUACAUAAUUUCUCUAAAAAAAAGUAUUAAUAUACUUUGUGCCAUAAUAAGUUUUCGUCAUAAUGGUAAAUUUUAAUUAGUUUGAAUUUAUGUGUUCAAUAUUUAUGUACAUUUAACCAAGUGUACGAGCACUGAUUCAAGGAUGAUGCCGAAUUUAUUGAAUAUAAAACUGCUAAAGCGUUAACUCGUUGACUGUUGUGGAGGUAGCCAAUGAAUGUCACCUGGCACCAUAUAUUAAAUAUAAUUGGAUAAUUAAGAAAAAGUGAGGAAAGUGUAAUUUUCAAUAGCAUUGAUGUUACAUUGAUAAUAAUUUGAAAAUUCAAAUUGUAAAAUUGAAUAAUUAAAUCAUGUUUAUCACCUUCACUAUUUGGUGUCUCAUAUAUGGUACUAAUGUACAAUGGCAAAUUUAUACUAAAAGGUAUUAAUAAAAAUUUAAACUUAUCUUUGUUCGAAUAAUCUACGCACACUGUAAAUUAUUUUAAUAAUUUUCUAUUGACAAUAAUUAUUGAUAAUUUUCUUUUUUAAUUUUUCGUAUUUGAUAAUUUGUCUUGAUAAUUAAUUAUGUCAAUAAAAUAAUAGAUGCGAAAGCUACAUAAAACUGCAAAUAAAUUGCAAAAAAUUAAUUUUUCUGACUACAUAUUACAAAUUAUGUGUAAAGAAAAAUAGUAGGUAGUAACAUAGUGUAUUAAAUGUGACACAGCAUACAGCAGCAUUAUGUGUGUAUUACAUGAAAAAUAAAUAAAAAUUUUCUGUGUGCCAUAUCAUGACACAUUAUAGAAUAAGGGAUUAACAACUGUUAUAAUAAAGUGUUAUAGGUACUGUAUGCAUAUCUCCAUUAAAGUUCAAGUGAAUUAUUAGAUUUAAUUUUGUCUAUCCGAUGCUCGUAGCCUUAAAGUUGGUCAUGGUUAAUGGUACUCGUGAUACGAAUACCAUUUGUAUACACAUAUUUCAAUUAAUAUACAGAGGAGUAUCCAUUCACUUUCUCUGUACACUUUCCAUAAGUUUCAUAGCAUGCAAGCUUGUUACGUGAACUAUAAACAUCAAAGACACUCGAGGUAUCGUAAUUAAUAUUUUAUGAAUUUCAUUCAGAAUUAAAAAUUAAGACCUUUAUGUUCAAACAUAGAAUAGUCAUGAAAAUGAAACUUGAAAAUAUUCAUAAAUAUUUAAGAAGAUGAAUGAAUCUCAUUUGAAUCGAGGAAGAUUUAAUUCCUUAAUUAACUGUGAUGAAAAAAUCUAAAUAAUUCUAAAGCAUAAUUGAUUAAAUAAUUUUUCUUAACCAACUUAUUUCAAUAUGCAAUUAAACGCGUUCGAAAGUACUUCUGUUGUUCAAGCAAUUAGACAGUGGAAAAUUUAUGUAAUUAGAAUGUUGAUUAUUUGAAUACAAGCAAGUAAUAAAUCCUUCAACGUAAUUAGUUGUAAUUAGUAGUUCGUUGGUUGAUCCUUUAUUUUGAAUUGAUAAGACACGAGUAGGGUAAUUAAAAAAUUAUUAUCCAAUUAAAUAUUCCAUGAAUCUUCUGCUGCAUUAAUCCUUGGAAUUUGCACUUUCUGAUAAUGUGUAACGGAACAAUUUAUCGCCAUUUAACUGAACAGAGGACGUCAAGUCACAUUGUCUACAAUUAAAAGUAAGAAUAAUUAAUUUUCUGAUUUUGCAUUCCAGUUUCAAAUUAUUAGUAUCUAUAAUAAUAAUUCUAUUGAAAAUAUUAAAUAUAUAAAUUAAUUCGCUACCUGUAGCAUUACGCCUUCCGAGUACUUGAAAAGUGACGCGAAAAUAUGAUAACAAUUAAAAUUACUUCACUAGUUCAAAUUAUCGCGACUUCUUAAAAACAAGUCUUUAAUUAAAAAAUAAAAGAAAAGACACAGAAUUAAUUUGUACCCCCACGGUAUUUAACAAGUUAAAAAAUUAAUUAAAUAAUAUGAUAAUGAUAAUGAUCAUUGGCAAUGAUUCCGAAACGGAAAGCAUAACAAGCGCUUUUUUCCUUUCGUUUUCUUACGGCGAGAGUACUAAGGAUUUUUCGAAAUAAUCGCGAACCGAAGCUGAAUAAAAAGCGUCAACCGUUGCUCGUCAAAGAGUGUAAACCACCGUUGGAAGGACGUCUAUUCUUCUCGGUUAAUGCAGAUACGCUCAAGCCGUUCCUAUGAGCAUUGCGUCAUUGCCAAUAGAAGAGAAAACAUAAGGGGUGCUGGACCACCAUUCAAUGGACGCGAACGAGCCUUGAGAACAUUUUGUUCGAGCGUUUCUAGCGCUAGGAAAAAGCUCAAUACAUAGUACGUUUGCGAUUAAAGUCACAAUUCUAUUAUGUUUGUUCUCUUGCCGGCUUGUACUUCUGCUUUUAUUGUUUCUACGCUGCUUUGUGACAUCGUGUUAGUUCGUUCAAAAAUAUUACCACCGAGUGGUUAGGAACUUUUAUAAUACAUUGAUUGUCGAAGUAGAAAUAGCCAUAUCCACUAGGGUACACCAUACUGUGGUCUAUUAAUAAGGAAAUCUUUCGAGCUGUCCUUCAGUGAUUUUAAUGCAACUGAAAUGUGUUAAAUAGGAUGCAGAAAUAACCAAUGGGUUAUUAUUAAUCGACUUCGAAAAAGGAGGAGGUUACUCAAAUCAAUCAGUAUUUUUUUUUUAAAUCUAUAUUUCUAAGGGGUGAAAAACUCCUUCAAAGUUUGCAGUAUGGUAGUGUGGUUUUUAUUUUAGUUAUUAUUUUAUUAUCUCUACGUGCCUAAGCUAAUUAUAAACGGUAAUUCUACGUAAACUAUGAAUAAAACGGAUUCGUCGCAGAUUUAUCCCAGGGCACGUCUAUUCUCCAUACGUCGUCGUCGUCGUCAACUGAUCGUCGAUUUUUUGUGAUUGGACGCGUCGCGGACCCCCUGCGACCCCCCUGCAAUCCGCAGUGGAAUCCAGAAUAUUCUGGAAACAUCCAACUAUUUACUGGGACUAGGUGUAUAACACUAUAAAGUACUUACAUUUGUGAUUAGGCUGUAUCUUUGUUGCCAUCAUAUAUUUUCGAUAGUACGUUAUCCAGUAUGGGGAGAUACAUAUAGAGGAAACAGGAAUUCCUAAAAUCUUAAUUUUGACAAUAAUAACUCUUAACGGACGAGUUGCUUUUUUUUUAUCUUUUUCCAUUUCUGGGAAUUUUUUAGGGCAUAUCAAAAUGUGUGCAAAAACAUAAAUCUACAUGUCCCAUCUGUUAAGUGUUAAUGUGAAAAUUAAUUUAGAAAACAAAUAAUGUAAUUUUUAAUUAGUAACUAUUAUAAGAGUUAGUAUGUAACUGAGAAGUAUGAAUGAUAAAUAACAAUCAAUUAAAAUUUUCCUCCGGAGAAGCCAACGGAGAUGAAAAUGAGAACCCGGGACAUCACCUCCCAUUUUUCAUGGGAAAACUUAAUUUGAUCGCGAGUGCACUUUAGUAUCUGUUGCCUCGUAGACCCUUCAGGUCCCGGCAAAAUAACCAUCAGGUAGAAAUUAUACCAGAAGUUAUAAAACCAACGCCUGGUCGACUACCCUUCAUUGGGGUCGCGUACCGUUAGGCGCUCCGCAAUUAAAAAUUAAGGAAUUCCUAAAAAUUCUGAAAAAAACCCACGGUAACUCGUCGACUGCUUCACUUCCACUCUUCCACACCUCCCACCACAUUUUCUCCACCAUUUUCUCCGAAACCAAUAACUCCUGCCCAAUCAUAACACAAUUUUCCUUUCCGUUCUACAUAUUUCUUCUUGCACUUCCACCAAUCAGCGAUAGUUCUAGGCAUAGACAAUUUUCCUUUCUGCCAGCACACGAAAACGAAGGCAGAACUCCGACAACUCUCAUAGUAUUAACACCUCGGAAAACAUAUACAUUAUCUUGUAUAUCAUACAGUUUGUUACUGAAAUAUAGUUUAUAUUAAACCAAUCAACCGAUUCAAUCAUUUGACGUAAAACAAUUCUCGAGUACUAAUUUAUUCGAGGAUAGCUGGGACAUUUGAGAUCGAAACAACAGUUUCAAGCCGCAGUAUUAUACAGUAUCAAUUUUACAUGAAAGAACCAUUUCCUUUUUCUUUUAUUUCACUGUAUAUAAUUAAAUUAAUUAAAUUUUAAACCGGAGUUAAAUAAAAAUUAAUCCUAUAAAUAUUGAUCGUAUUUCAAUGAACCAAUUUAUACAGCAUACAGAUAAAAUGUCUUUCACAAAUAAAAAAUAAAAUGUUUACAGUUUUUCACCUUGAAAGAAAAAGUUUGAUAAAAGUUGACCACUAGUACUGGAGGUCGAUAAGCAGAGACCUCUUAAUUAUUCUACGGGUUCGCAGCGUGUACCUAACCGUGUAAAAGCAUCGGUCCGUUUUGAUUCGCGGUUGAACGAGGGCGGAGUACGUGAACGACA